UACUUGGGUGACUAAGGCAGGAUUGCUUGAGCCUGGGAGGUUGAGGCUGCAGUGUGGUGAUCACAGCUCACUGCAGACUCAGCCUCCCAGACUCAAGCAAUCCUCUUGCCUGAGUG
rnacentral:miRNA from 1 species